ensembl:snRNA U2 U2 spliceosomal RNA
AUGGGGUUUUGGCCUUUUGGCUAAGAUCAAGUACAGUACCUGCUCUUAUCAGUUUAAUAUCUGAUAUAUCCUCUAUCUGAGGACAAUAUAUUACAUGAAUCUUGGGAGCAAGGAGUUGAAAUAGAAGGUUGCUUUUUCCUCUCCAUGCACGGACCUGGUAGUGUAGUACUUCCAGGAAAGGUGCACCCCCU